GUUGCUACUGUGAUGAAUUCUGCCAUGUGGCACCAGACUGCCACCCAGACCACAGUGUCCUCUGCAACCCUGGUAACUCACAUACAGGCCCGAUUCCACCUACAGCAAAGCUGGAUGCGAUGGCUGGCAGAGGCAAACCCUUUGCCUGCACUUCAGGCCAAAGCCGGGAUGUGGCCUAGAUGGUUCCUAAGGUCCCUGACAAUCCUGAGAUCUUGCAUCUUGUCUAUUUCAGGUCAAAGGUGCCUACAUGCUCCUUCUAGCUUUGUUUCCCUGAUGUUCCUUGCCACCUGCUACUCCUCUCUGAGCUACUUUUCCAGCUUCUCAGAUGACCAAGAUGGUGCUGCAGAUGGUGC
rnacentral:lncRNA from 1 species